AGAAAAGUAGGUGCCGCCCCGCACAGGGGCAGCGCCAAUAGACCACUAAGAAAACAGGUUCUACAGAGAGACACUGAUCACAGAAAAAAACCAGCGCCCCGCGCAACACCA
rnacentral:sRNA from 1 species